rnacentral:tRNA from 1 species
GAGAUGUUAGUAAAGCUAUUACAUGGCUUUGUCAAAGCCAAGUCACAGAUUAAACCUCUGUACAUCUCA